rnacentral:rRNA from 1 species
GAUGAACGCUGGCGGCGUGCCUAAUACAUGCAAGUCGAGCGAACGGACGAGAAGCUUGCUUCUCUGAUGUUAGCGGCGGACGGGUGAGUAACACGUGGAUAACCUACCUAUAAGACUGGGAUAACUUCGGGAAACCGGAGCUAAUACCGGAUAAUAUUUUGAACCGCAUGGUUCAAAAGUGAAAGACGGUCUUGCUGUCACUUAUAGAUGGAUCCGCGCUGCAUUAGCUAGUUGGUAAGGUAACGGCUUACCACGGCAACGAUGCAUAGCCGACCUGUGAGGGUGAUAGGCCACACUGGAACUGAGACGCGGUCCAGACUCCUACGGGAGGGAGCAGUAGGGAAUCUGCCGCAAUGGGCGAAAGCCUGACGGAACAACGCCGCGUGAGUGAUGAAGGUCUUCCGAUCGUAAAACUCUGUUAUUAGGGAAGAACAGAUGUGUAAGGAACUGUGCACAUCUUGACGGUACCUAAUCAGAAAGCCACGGCUAACUACGUG